AACGAACGCUGGCGGCAUGCCUAACACAUGCAAGUCGAACGAGACCUUCUGGUCUAGUGGCGCACGGGUGCGUAACGCGUGGGAACCUGCCCUUAGGUUCGGAAUACCUCCCCGAAAGGGGUGCUAAUACCGGAUAAUGUCUUCGGACCAAAGAUUUAUCGCCUUUGGAUGGGCCCGCGUUGGAUUAGCUAGUUGGUAGGGUAAAAGCCUACCAAGGCGACGAUCCAUAGCUGGUCUGAGAGGAUGAUCAGCCACACUGGGACUGAGACACGGCCCAGACUCCUACGGGAGGCAGCAGUGGGGAAUAUUGGACAAUGGGCGAAAGCCUGAUCCAGCAAUGCCGCGUGAGUGAUGAAGGCCUUAGGGUUGUAAAGCUCUUUUACCCGGGAUGAUAAUGACAGUACCGGGAGAAUAAGCUCCGGCUAACUCCGUG
rnacentral:rRNA from 1 species